CACGACACGACAAAUGGGUCUAAGCGACACAAUUCAUUUAGUUUUCGGGAGAGUUAAAAAACAUGUAUUUGUGAUUUUAACAUUUUUUUUUUUUUUUUAAGUGGGAAAUAAUUUUUUUUUCGUUUGGACUGGGGAAUAUUUACAUUGAAUACUUUUUUUUUAGCUUGUACGUUCUUAAUGUAGAUACGCAUUGUUGAUUAGCUUUUAUUGUCGUUUAGACCCUAUAAUUGAGAAGACAAAAUAAAAAGUAUCGUUUGUAUCCCCGACUUAAAAUUAAAAUUAUUCGUUAAAUAAUGGUCACAGUUCUUUUUGCGCACGUGUGAUGUAAUGGACGAAACAUGUAUUUCUUCAUCCAAUAGUGAAGUCAUGUAACUUAGAAACUUGCCGUGUCACCAUCGAUAUUUCAGCAGAUCGAGCUACUCGGUAAGGAACGGGCAUUUUGUUUUAAUGGUUUUAACGAUUAAAAUACAUUUUUAUCCCUCAAAAAUUGGCCGUGACUCAGCCUUUUAAAGUUCGUGAUUCGUACCUUUAUACCUACGACUUUUUUCCAAGUAGUCAUAUUUCUACGUGCUUUUUUAAACGUCUUCAGUUUUGAAUCAAACUUUUGACUACUAUAUCCUGAAAAACUUACAAGAUAGAAAUAAAAUUAUAUCGACCAAAUAGCAGUAUUAGAACUUGAUUUUAGAAACAGGCGUGUUGUAUCUGAGAAAAUUUGAGUUUAGUUUACAAUGUUUACAACGUUUGAAAAUUUGUUGGAAUCGUAUUGUUUGGCGCCCGAUAAAUAUUAUUGGAUACAUGAAAUAAGAAUAAUACGUUUAGGACGCAGCUGCUGCGGUCGUUUUAAGGUACUGCAACAACAACCCGGUAAACAAAUCGAAUAAUCUUUAUACAAUCCACUGCGGCAGACGCGUAUAAACCAUUAAUUAGAAUAAUAUAAUAUUACGAAG